AGCAGUAGCCGCGGUAAUACGAAGGGUGCAAGCGUUACUCGGAAUUACUGGGCGUAAAGCGUGCGUAGGUGGUGGUUUAAGUCCGUUGUGAAAGCCCUGGGCUCAACCUGGGAAUUGCAGUGGAUACUGGAUCACUAGAGUGUGGUAGAGGAUAGUGGAAUUUCCGGUGUAGCAGUGAAAUGCGUAGAGAUCGGAAGGAACAUCUGUGGCGAAGGCGACUAUCUGGGCCAACACUGACACUGAGGCACGAAAGCGUGGGGAGCAAACAGGAUUAGAUACCCCAGUAGUCCCUGUCUCUUAUAC
rnacentral:rRNA from 1 species